rnacentral:lncRNA from 1 species
CCCAGAGUCAGGGUCCUCCGCUGCCUGAGGCGUCAACAUGCCUGCCUGCAAUGUGUUUGUGCACGGCCUAGGGGAUGCCAAAUUCCAGGGGCCAGAAAGAGCUUGGGAUAAAAAGAAACUUCAAGGGGACGGCUUUGACCUGGGCUGAGUCUGCCUGUGCCAUCCAACUGGAGUCUCAAGUCCUGAGGCAGGACGUCCAGAUGCCCCAGUGCAGGGUCCUCCUGAUCAACACCUGCUCCCCUGUACUCAUUAGCAACCUCACCCACCCUACUCUCAAAGCACACUUGGCUCUCGUAUCCAGGAGCUCUGCAUCUGUAGAUUCAGCAACAGCAGAUGGAAAAUAUUCAGAAAAUAAAUUGGACGGUUAUGUUUCUAUUGAACA